UAACCAAGAGGUUAAAGCUUCGUCCGGCGAAUAUGAAAACAUUCCCAUUCAUAUCUCCAAAUUCCCCAUGGCUCCUUCCAAGAUUAGUGCCAGUGCUCGUCUUCUAACCCAAAAAAAAUUCAACUCAAAUCUCGUCUCUGCAAGUUCCUCGGCAUUUCUCUUGUCUCUCCCCGCGGCGAUAGUCCCAUCCUGAUUUCCAGAGCCCUGGGAUCAGAAAGGACAAGAUAUGGGAGGAAAACUUAAAGGCCAUAUUACAUGGUAAAGACGGAGUCGGGAUGGCAGAGAUUAAAAAUUAUUCUCUCCCCAAUUCAAUGAUCCUAGUCUAAGAAAUAAGGAAAUGGAACGUCAGGAAGAUAACAGGCAUGACAACCGAUGAGGACAAAGUGGAUAAGCUCUGACCGAUGAUCAAUUUUUGGUAACAUCUUUUUAUUCUUCUAUACAUCUUCAAAACCCUUGUGCUUUUCAUAUUUUUGAUCUUGCAUGUUAGUUUGUUCAAUAUCAAUGUCACUGCGGCAAAAGUGUAGCUUUUCGUUCUUCUUGACAAUCUUUAUUUCAAGUGCGUUUGAAGGUUGUUCUGACCUGAAAAUUAAGCGUACUUUUGCUGAAUCUGUAAGAAUAGAUUAUUGUCCCUUUACUUUUACUUUAUGGCAUCUACUGAUCUGACUUGAAAUUUAGCAUUUGCACUCGUGAUAUCCAUAAUCUAUCUGGAUUCUCUCUGGUGUCUUUUAGGCCAUCUACAUAUCUACUUAUUUUUCUUUUAAUUGGACAAUCUAGGUUUGUUUUUAAUGCAACUUUUCUUAGAAAAAUUAAAAAAGUGGAAUGAAGAACCCAUUAAGACUGGGCGGUCUAAAUUUAACCCGAGAUACUACUGCAGAGAAUCCAGGCCCCAUGUUUCAUUAUAUUUCUAUGGUCCCACUGUUCUAAAGCUUUUACUUUUAGGGUCUUAUUUUUCCCUCUGAAAUGACUUUUGAGGGUAUUGAAUUAAAUUUCUUGGUAUGGACAAGUGUUGAAUAUAUACACAGAGUUCUCUAGGCCAUGUUUGGCUUAGGAUUUAAUA